AACGCACGAGACCUGCGGACCUGCGGAGGGAUCAUUAAUGAGUUGCAAAACUCCCUAAACCAUUGUGAACCUACCUGUACCGUUCCUUCGGCGGGCGGCGUCAAGCCCUAACCCGUCUCCCUUUACGGGGGAUGGACCCGCCGGAGGCUCCUAAACUCUUAACUUUUGUUGGCAUCUCUGAGUAAAUCAAAAUAAGUCAAAACUUUUAACAACGGAUCUCU
rnacentral:misc_RNA from 1 species